rnacentral:rRNA from 1 species
UACGUAGGGUGCGAGCGUUAAUCGGAAUUACUGGCGUAAAGCGUGCGCAGGCGGUUCGUUAAGUCCGAUGUGAAAGCCCCGAGCUUAACUUGGGAAUGGCAUUGGAGACUGGCGGGCUGGAGUGUGGCAGAGGGGGGUGGGAAUUCCAACGUGUAGCAGUGAAAUGCGCAGAUAUCAGGAAGAACACCAGUGGCGAAGGCGGCUCACUGGACCGUUCUGACGCUAGGCGCGAAAGCGUGGGGAGCAAACGGGAU